GAAAUGCGGCUGAGAAUGAAAAAUUUACAAGUAGUUUAGGCAACUGCCAACUGGGUCCUUUGUUUACUACUUUGGCCACUUGUAAAACGGAAAUGGAAAGGUGCUUCACUUGUUUUCACCGUGCCUGUGGCCAUUACCAGCAGUAUCGUUUGCAGUGCCCAAAUCUAUUUAAAAUCUGACAGACAAUUACGUUUCAUUUUCCUUAUAUUCCGCAAUCACGGCCGCUUGCUUUUCAAACAAUUUAUAUGAAUAUACGUGAAUAAAUAUACUCAAUGUCGCAAAACCGUGCCAACAAACAUGCACAUCAGGUUCGGCCAGGUGUUUGACAUUUUUGUUUACUGACAUAAGCGAAAGGUAGAAUAUACAUAGAAAUAGAUACAAGACAGCCAGUAUCUGGCAUAAAAUUGCAUUAAAUUAAAGUAGCCAGGCAUUAACGCCUUAGACGCUCCCAGUUUGGUUGGCUUUUGGAAAUUGCCAAACAAAGGAAAAUGCUCGGCCCCACGAAAAACUUAACGUUACUCAAAGACGUCCAUUUCCAACAUGAAAUCCAAAAGAGAAAGCGAAGCAAGGAAAACGUAACGUAUCAAGAAGCUCUUUAGAGGCAGCGCAAACGCAAAAGAACUUGCAACAAGGACCCACCUCAUUAUAUUCAAGCAAAAUGGCUGCCAGGCUGCCGCAGACAGUGGCAAUGAGGCAGGAGGCAGGUUGGGCGAACUGGCAACCAGCCAACGCCAACGAGCAAGCACUGAGGAGGGGCAGCUGAGAGGUAGACGUUUGGUCAAAAGGAAAACAACUUAAAGCAUCUCGCACGCAAUCGAUAAGUUCAUGGAGUUUUUCAAAUCAUAAACAGAUUUGGCAAUGCAUUAAAUUUCGCGUAGCCUGAAACGCAAUUUGGCAGUCGAUUAGCACCUUCAGGUAGAGAGGAACUCUGAAAAUAGACUAGCUCGAGGUAUUUGGCUGCAACACACCGGCUGCUGGCAAUUAAAACUUAAGAUACACAUGUGCACGUUAAGUUCAACCACAUUUCGAACUCCCAACCAAAGUAUGUUUGUGUUUUUAUUUUAUACAUCUGGCCAAACGGACGCUAUCUUGGGUGAUGCCAUCGUCGGGCUGGUCGAAUUGGAUGCUCUAUAGAAUAAUAUAAAUUUCUGGUGUGUUGCGUUUUAGUUCAACGCACUUGUUGGCCUACAUUGCAGUUGCAGUUGCAGUUGCAGAAAAUGAGCAUGCAACUCUUUCCCUCUCUCUCUCUCCCUCUCUCUUUUACCUAUAUAGAGCUUAUGCUGGCAAACGACAGACACUAUUAAAUAAGCCAGCUAGAAAAUAUAUGCAUUUACAAUGUUUGUACUAGGUUAUAUUUUUUAGUGAAUGCAAUGCGGAAAUCAUUUCGAUCAUUGUGUCAAUUUAUUUUCUUUACUGUGCAGUUGCGAGUUCGGAAAGCAAAUGCAAUUUACAAAAGAAGGAUAAACUUUAAAUUCAAUGGCCAUGAACUGGCAGCCAAUUCUGCAUUUGUUCACUCGAUGAUCUCAUUUCCAGCUGCAGAAAACUCAUAAUAUUUUUUCUAUAUGCCGCAUUUUACCCGAACGAGAAAUUAUUUUAUAGUCACAAGUUUAUCAACCGGCACAGAAGGCUGAUAACGUGGUUAGCCCCUUUGUAAAUCGGUACACUCACUAGCGCACAGUGGGUCUUAUAUGUAUGCGAACGUGUGUAGUGCUGCGACAGUGCGUCACUUAAGAAUUUAACAAGUAUCUGGCGUGAUGCCCGCCCACACUCAUUUAAUGUUACGUUGAUUCUUUUUUCAAUUAACAGCUGCUUCACAUUCCGAGAGGGUUUAAUCAACAACAUAGAGCUCCUGAGGGGUAACUGUCUGCCAUGCCAGGGUCAUUUUCAUCAUCCGUAAAUUGAGACUUUUACUACACACGUCAGACGGAACGAAUGGAGAGAUGCUGCUAUAAAAUGUUCAACGAGUCGUCCGCAAAAAAAAUUCAUCUAGCGAGUAUUGAGACAGCGAGAAAUAAAACAAUUUAAAACAUGUAUAGCAUGCUUUUAGGUGCUUUACAAAAUUCAUCGAAUCUUGUAUAGAAUAAAUUUGAAUAUUUGGAA